rnacentral:rRNA from 1 species
GGUUAAGCGACUAAGCGUACACGGUGGAUGCCCUGGCAGUCAGAGGCGAUGAAGGACGUGCUAAUCUGCGAAAAGCGCCGGCGAGGUGAUAUGAACCUUUGACCCGGCGAUGUCCGAAUGGGGAAACCCAGUGUGUUCCGACACACUAUCGUUAACUGAAUACAUAGGUUAACGAGGCGAACCGGGGGAACUGAAACAUCUAAGUACCCCGAGGAAAAGAAAUCAACCGAGAUUCCCCCAGUAGCGGCGAGCGAACGGGGAGCAGCCCGGAGUCUGAAUCAGCUUGUGUGUUAGUGGAACGGUCUGGAAAGUCCGACGGUACAGGGUGAUAGUCCCGUACACGAAAAUGCACAGGUUGUGAACUCGAAGAGUAGGGCGGGACACGUGGUAUCCUGUCUGAAUAUGGGGGGACCAUCCUCCAAGGCUAAAUACUCCUGACUGACCGAUAGUGAACCAGUACCGUGAGGGAAAGGCGAAAAGAACCCCGGCGAGGGGAGUGAAAAAGAACCUGAAACCGUGUACGUACAAGCAGUGGGAGCCUCUUUAUGGGGUGACUGCGUACCUUUUGUAUAAUGGGUCAGCGACUUAUAUUCUGUAGCAAGGUUAACCGUAUAGGGGAGCCGAAGGGAAACCGAGUCUUAACUGGGCGUUAAGUUGCAGGGUAUAGACCCGAAACCCGGUGAUCUAGCCAUGGGCAGGUUGAAGGUUGGGUAACACUAACUGGAGGACCGAACCGACUAAUGUUGAAAAAUUAGCGGAUGACCUGUGGCUGGGGGUGAAAGGCCAAUCAAACCGGGAGAUAGCUGGUUCUCCCCGAAAGCUAUUUAGGUAGCGCCUCGUGAACUCAUCUUCGGGGGUAGAGCACUGUUUCGGCUAGGGGGCCAUCCCGGCUUACCAACCCGAUGCAAACUACGAAUACCGAAGAAUGUUAUCACGGGAGACACACGGCGGGUGCUAACGUCCGUCGUGAAGAGGGAAACAACCCAGACCGCCAGCUAAGGUCCCAAAGUCAUGGUUAAGUGGGAAACGAUGUGGGAAGGCACAGACAGCCAGGAUGUUGGCUUAGAAGCAGCCAUCAUUUAAAGAAAGCGUAAUAGCUCACUGGUCGAGUCGGCCUGCGCGGAAGAUGUAACGGGGCUAAACCAUG